CCGAUUUUCUCUAAUUAAACACAACUCCAACGACCCCUCUCCACGCCUCACGCCGCCGCUCUCCUCUAAACGCCGCUGCUGCUUCUCUCCGCUAACGUCGCCGCCGCCGCUGCUCUGCUUUGAACGCCGCCGGUUCUUUCUCCUUCCUUCUAUCUAUGUAUAUUAUGUUGUUAAUUUGUUUUUGAUUGGGAUUUUUUAGGGUUGAAUUCAACUUUUAAUCAACACAAUCUCUUCACAUUUUGAAGAAAUAUUGUCAACACAAUUUCACUUCUUCACUGUUUUAGGCGUGAGCUUUCCCGAAUAUAUUAGUAGUCAUAGUUUGAUGCAUAGCCUCUUGUUUUCCUUUUCACUGCCAAUAUUUAUUAUGCAUACAUAAUUAUUUGUGUAUACGAUUAGGGAAUGAAAACUGGUGUGCUAUCAAUAAUUGAAUAACAUAUUUUAUAUGAUUUUGUUUCUUGCUGGUUCUGCGUUUCAAUAAGCAAGACAAUUUAUAUAUGUAUAGGGAUUAGGGAAUGAAAAAUGGGAUGUAAGUUUUUUGAUAGAAGAUGUGCUUGAAAGCAACUUUUAAUCAACAUAACUUCACAUUUUUAGGCGUGAGAUUUCAUUGAUUUUUUGUUGAAGUGAACGGCUCCCUCAGCUGCAUUCUAGUUACUUUGCAUACAUAUUUAUAUAUGAAUAGGAAUUAGGGAAUGAAAAUUGGGUUGUUAGUUUUCUAAUAGAAGGAGUGUAUUUAUUUGAUUUGGAUCCCUAUGUCUUCUACUGGUUCUGCAUUUCACCCAUUCAUGAGCAAGACAAUUUAUAUAUGUAUUAAGUAACAUGUUGUCUAAUUUGGGGGAUUUUUUUAUAUAAAAUUGAAGCCAUUGAUGCAUAUUAUUUUUGUCUACACUGAUUUAUUCAGACCAGCAAUAAGGAUUUGAUUCUUGAUGAUUGGAUAUUACUCCAAUUUUUGUUCUAUUGUAUUUGAGUAUUGAUUGCUUCCUUAUAGCUUCGUAAUUAACAUAAAGCAACUGAUUAGCAAGAAAGAAAGCAAAUGAUUAACAAGUGAAGAUGUUUUAAAUGGUAAAUGGUCAUAGCAAAUGAGCAAUAUGAAGUAUAAUUACUGCUGUUUCAUAUUGUAGAUGUUUUGUGUACUUAUAAAAGCAUUAGUAGUAUUAAUGAAUUAGGACUCAAUUUUAUCACGAGUAUAGACAUUCUGUUUUCUGUAGUUUGUUUCCAUAGAGAGAUACAUCACAUGCUUUUACUGUCCUAGAAGAGCUUAUCAAGGUCUACACUUUAGCAUUGUUGCUAAAGAAAAAAGAAUAAGCUAAAGAUAAGUUAAGAGAAGAAUUUAUUACAAAGGUUAGCAUCUUUAUCUUGUUUCUUUAUGCUUUUUUGUACCAUGACCCAAAUAGUGGUAAUAGCACUAAGUAUAUUGUUUAUAGGAGCAUUUUAGGGUGUAGAUGCUGGUUAGGACCCAAUUUGAUGUGAGGUGAUUUUGUGCUUUGAUUGUGAAUGAUAGUUAGUUAAGAGUUUGUACUACAGCAAGAAUUAUGGAGGGAAGAGUCAGCAAGUGGACCGCAAACUUGAAGAGAUGGAAGAAAAAUUCAAUGAUGAGCGCGAGAAGAGAAUGAAAUUAGAGGAAGAUCUGUCGAUUCUGAAUGAGAGGAUGGACCAGUUCAUGUCCCUAGUCCUAUAACUCCCGUCGUUCAGUCUCGUAGUUCAUGACCAGUUUGGCCACUAUUUUGUAAUUCACUAUCAGCUUUAUUUCAAAGUCAUGACAUUAUUUGCAAAAUACUUUUUAAUAUAUCUAUUACUAUUUUUUGCUA